AAUUAAAGUGGUACGUGAGCUGGGUUCAGAACGUCGCGAGACAGUUCGGUCCCUAUCUGCCGUGGGUGUAGGAGACUUGAUGGGAGUUGCCCCUAGUACGAGAGGACCGGGGUGAACGAUCCACUGGUGGAUCUGUUGUGGCGCCAGCCGCAGUGCAGAGUAGCUAUGAUCGGACAGGAUAACCGCUGAAGGCAUCUAAGCGGGAAGCCCCCCUUA
rnacentral:rRNA from 1 species